CUGGGAAAUGAUGAUAAGUAUAUCGAUAUUUCAGAGGCGUAUGCAAUGCUGAACGAACUAUUUGCACGUCAGUCUGAUUCCAG
rnacentral:snoRNA from 14 species